UGUGGCUGGGGGUGAAAGGCCAAUCAAACCGGGAGAUAGCUGGUUCUCCCCGAAAGCUAUUUAGGUAGCGCCUCGUGAAUUCAUCUCCGGGGGUAGAGCACUGUUUCGGCAAGGGGGUCAUCCCGACUUACCAACCCGAUGCAAACUGCGAAUACCGGAGAAUGUUAUCACGGGAGACACACGGCGGGUGCUAACGUCCGUCGUGAAGAGGGAAACAACCCAGACCGCCAGCUAAGGUCCCAAAGUCAUGGUUAAGUGGGAAACGAUGUGGGAAGGCCCAGACAGCCAGGAUGUUGGCUUAGAAGCAGCCAUCAUUUAAAGAAAGCGUAAUAGCUCACUGGUCGAGUCGGCCUGCGCGGAAGAUGUAACGGGGCUAAACCAUGCACCGAAGCUGCGGCAGCGACACUAUGUGUUGUUGGGUAGGGGAGCGUUCUGUAAGCCUGUGAAGGUGGCCUGUGAGGGUUGCUGGAGGUAUCAGAAGUGCGAAUGCUGACAUAAGUAACGAUAAAGCGGGUGAAAAGCCCGCUCGCCGGAAGACCAAGGGUUCCUGUCCAACGUUAAUCGGGGCAGGGUGAGUCGACCCCUAAGGCGAGGCCGAAAGGCGUAGUCGAUGGGAAACAGGUUAAUAUUCCUGUACUUGGUGUUACUGCGAAGGGGGGACGGAGAAGGCUAUGUUGGCCGGGCGACGGUUGUCCCGGUUUAAGCGUGUAGGCUGGUUUUCCAGGCAAAUCCGGAAAACCAAGGCUGAGGCGUGAUGACGAGGCACUACGGUGCUGAAGCGACAAAUGCCCUGCUUCCAGGAAAAGCCUCUAAGCAUCAGGUAACAUCAAAUCGUACCCCAAACCGACACAGGUGGUCAGGUAGAGAAUACCAAGGCGCUUGAGAGAACUCGGGUGAAGGAACUAGGCAAAAUGGUGCCGUAACUUCGGGAGAAGGCACGCUGAUAUGUAGGUGAAGCGACUUGCUCGUGGAGCUGAAAUCAGUCGAAGAUACCAGCUGGCUGCAACUGUUUAUUAAAAACACAGCACUGUGCAAACACGAAAGUGGACGUAUACGGUGUGACGCCUGCCCGGUGCCGGAAGGUUAAUUGAUGGGGUUAGCGGUAACGCGAAGCUCUUGAUCGAAGCCCCGGUAAACGGCGGCCGUAACUAUAACGGUCCUAAGGUAGCGAAAUUCCUUGUCGGGUAAGUUCCGACCUGCACGAAUGGCGUAAUGAUGGCCAGGCUGUCUCCACCCGAGACUCAGUGAAAUUGAACUCGCUGUGAAGAUGCAGUGUACCCGCGGCAAGACGGAAAGACCCCGUGAACCUUUACUAUAGCUUGACACUGAACAUUGAGCCUUGAUGUGUAGGAUAGGUGGGAGGCUUUGAAGUGUGGACGCCAGUCUGCAUGGAGCCGGCCUUGAAAUACCACCCUUUAAUGUUUGAUGUUCUAACGUUGGCCCGUAAUCCGGGUUGCGGACAGUGUCUGGUGGGUAGUUUGACUGGGGCGGUCUCCUCCUAAAGAGUAACGGAGGAGCACGAAGGUUGGCUAAUCCUGGUCGGACAUCAGGAGGUUAGUGCAAUGGCAUAAGCCAGCUUGACUGCGAGCGUGACGGCGCGAGCAGGUGCGAAAGCAGGUCAUAGUGAUCCGGUGGUUCUGAAUGGAAGGGCCAUCGCUCAACGGAUAAAAGGUACUCCGGGGAUAACAGGCUGAUACCGCCCAAGAGUUCAUAUCGACGGCGGUGUUUGGCACCUCGAUGUCGGCUCAUCACAUCCUGGGGCUGAAGUAGGUCCCAAGGGUAUGGCUGUUCGCCAUUUAAAGUGGUACGCGAGCUGGGUUUAGAACGUCGUGAGACAGUUCGGUCCCUAUCUGCCGUGGGCGCUGGAGAACUGAGGGGGGCUGCUCCUAGUACGAGAGGACCGGAGUGGACGCAUCACUGGUGUUCGGGUUGUCAUGCCAAUGGCACUGCCCGGUAGCUAAAUGCGGAAGAGAUAAGUGCUGAAAGCAUCUAAGCACGAAACUUGCCCCGAGAUGAGUUCUCCCUGAGACUUAGAGUCUCCUGAAGGAACGUUGAAGACGACGACGUUGAUAGGCCGGGUGUGUAAGCGCAGCGAUGCGUUGAGCUAACCGGUACUAAUGAACCGUGAGGCUUAACCUU
rnacentral:rRNA from 1 species